GCGGAUCUACCCUUAGGGCAGUGGGGUCAAUUGACCCCACUGAAUUUUGAAAAGUUGAUUUUUUAUUUAUUUUUAAUUUUAUAAAAUGUUUAGUGAAAAUAAAAAAAUUCAGACUAAAGAUUAUUAAAUGUCUCAAAUUUCUAUUAACACUAACGCUCCACUCUUUUAUAUUGUUUAUUAAUUUACAUUGAACAUGAUAUUUUUGCAUCUAUUGAAAUGAGGUUAUCAUUGCAAUAGUUUCAAGCAAUGAAGUCUCGAAAAAUGUUAUUAUAAAUAAUAUUUUAACAAUAUUAUUUAAUUUUGUAAUUUAUUUUAAAGGACACGGGAG
rnacentral:lncRNA from 1 species